AUAUUUUUGUUACCUUUUGCAGGUGGACAUAUUUAGAAUUGAAGCAGUAAAUAUUGGUCUUUUGCAAGCCUUGAAUGUGGAAAAAGGAAAAGGUCCUGACUGGCAACUGGAGAAAAUUGCCAUAAGAGAGGCAUCAGUAGUAGGAAAAGAAAUAGUGUUUCUAGCCCAUAAAUGGCUCAAAAGUGGAAGAAACCCAUCAGUUACAUUGAAUAUUACAGAAAUUGAGGAAAUCGGGCAUGUGAAUGCCUUGCCACCAGGAAGCCAGCAAAUGAAGUCAGGUAAUCCUCAUGCCACUGUAGUCAAUUUAAAUACAAC
rnacentral:lncRNA from 1 species